UCCAGAAAUAAAGAAAAAAAAUCUAAAAAAAACUUGCUUCACAUUUUAUUUACGAAAAAAUUUCGUGAAAUUUCCACAAUAUUGCAACCAUGUGUCUUGAGGCUCUCGAUUCGAUUGGUUGCUCAAAUGGUGAGCUCAACAAUUCAACGUUCAUCAAAAGAAAUUUUGUGUCUGUACAAGUCUGUAGCAACUUUCAUGUCACAAGGUGAAAUGAACCAUAAAUAUGAAAAAAGUUAAGUAUUCAGUCUUGAGGAAAAGCAAAAGAGGUGCGUCGGAUCAAAGUUUGUCGUUUAAGUGGGGACAUCAGCAAGAAGUAAACGAGUCAUCAUGGUUCAUUCGUGUUGUUGUCAAUUCGUUCAAUGGUGUCGCAACUUUUUUUUCUGAGCAUGUGCCCUAUUGGGAUGAAGUGGUCAAUUCGGAUGAGAAUGAACACAGAGUUGCCAAAAAGUUCUCAGCAUUCAUAUUCGGUCUUCUCAUAGGACUAUUGCUUUACGAAAUCAUCGUGUUGACUUGCAAUUCGAUGCGCUGACUGCCUAUGUAUUGGGAGCAAGUAUCAGUCUAAUAUUGGCCUUCGGAAACGCCAUUUCUUCGCAGGUAUGUAGAUAAAAAGCGUUCAACUCUGUAAUGGCUCUCAACAUAUAAUGCUAUAUUAUUGGGGAGGGCAGGGGGGGGGUGUAUUAUGUAUUACCCAUGGUAGUAUCAAAAAUGAAUUCGCUCAUACCAGUGGCGUGGCGUGAAUAAUCGAUUAUCGAUAUCUCGCCAUUUGAAGCUAUGGUUAAGAAUCGAUUAUUAAGGUGUUCGCUGCGAACACCCUGUUUAUCGAUCCUUUUUCAUAGGUUUAAAUGGCAUUACAAUCGAUGUAUCGCAAAUCACGCCACGCCACUGGCUCAUACCCCAAUUCAUCGGAGUGUAAAACCCACCCACGAUGCACGCGAGAAAGCGGAAAAGAGAGAAAAAAACAUUAGUGCGUUUGGCGAAAGGGGAACAAGCCACAUCAGCUGUUGCCGAAUUUAACGGGCCAAUUUAAUUUUUAACACGAGAACGUUUGUACAGAUUCUUUAGAAAAUGUUGAGAAAUUUCCUUCGCACAAUGCAGAAAAUUCACUGAAUUUUGCACAAAUAUUCGCGCAUAGUUUUCAUGUAAAAAAUUAAAUUGCCCAAUUAAAUUUGGCAAUAAUUAAUAUGGCUUUACUCCUUUCUGCUUAACGCGGUUCGUAUAUAAAAGGAAACGUUAGGUGGCCUAUAUUAUAUCAGUGGCGAGGCAUUCUUCGCGAUAUAUCGAUUGAGCUGCCAUUUAAACCUAUAGAAAAGUAUUGAUAAACCGGGUGUUCGCAACGAACACUUAAAUAAUCGAUUCUUUAUCACAGAUUCAAAUGGGAAAACAUCGAUGGUCGAUCAUCAACGCCUCAUCACUGCGUAAAAUGUGGCCAUUCAAUCGGAUUUUUUCGAUUUAUUUUUCU
rnacentral:lncRNA from 1 species